rnacentral:lncRNA from 1 species
UUCAGUUGAGCUCGUCGCUUCCGAAGCAAAGCUCCGUCCCUCCAGUCCGUCGCCCUUGAUCGUCCUCCUUCGCGUUCCUUUUCAGUUAGCUCUCUCUUUCUCUCUCUCUCUCUCCGUACGUUCACAUCGUAACCAGCCUCACAGAGGUUUCUUUUUUUUUUUUGGAAGUUGUUGUUUGGCUAUCACAGGUAUAUUGAAGAGAGUCAGUGGAAGUAGCAUUAGGAACAAUGAAUGAAGUAAUUAAAGAAGGGGAAGAAGGAGAAGAAGGAAAAGUAGCGGAACUAGGAGAAGAAGAAGAAGAAGAGGAGGAGGAGGAGGAGGAGGAGGAGGAGGAGGA